CGUGAACCACCUCAAGAGCCAGGGGCUCUUCGACCAGUUCCGCAGGGACUGCCUGGCCGACGUGGACACCAAGCCUGCCUAUCAGAACCUGAGACAACGGGUUGACAGCUUUGUUGCGAACCACUUGGCAACUCAUACAUGGAGUCCUCACCUCAAUAAGAACCAGCUGAGAAACAACAUUAGACAGCAGGUGCUCAAGUAAGUCUUCCAGACCCAGAGUCCCUAGGCAGGCUUGAAGGCGUCAGUCUGCUCUGUGGAAGGCAGAGACCAUUUUGUGGAAGCUAGAUGUCAUUUUAUCACGUCUGGUUGGCUGUUUCGAGGAUGACGCAGUGCAGUUUUAGAGGGGGCUCAAAUCGCUUCACGUUUCCCCAUGAAUUUUAGCAGUCUGACUUCUGCAGACCUUUGGAAAUACCUGAAGGACCAGGAUGCCAGUGUGACUCCAGAAACAAAAUACUAGGGUAUAAUGUUAAUUGCUGGUAAGUGCCAGAAUAUCCCAUAAAGGUCAGGCUUUAUUAUUCUGCUUUCAUAAGUAAAAAAGGCAUUCUAGAUCACGGCAGUUAAAAUAAUUUCCCCUAAUUUGAGGCCAUGUCUCCUAUCUUCUAAUACGACUCCCCUCUUUUUUUUUUCUUUUGCACUUUACUAUGACUUUUAAGUCUGCUGCUUAGUGAUGAUAUAGCCAAAAAAAAAAAAAAAAA